GUGGGCGUGGCGAAGUGGUUAUCGAUUAUGACUAGAAAUCCUGUGGGCUUUGCCUGCGCAGGGUCAAAUCCUGCUGCUCAUG
rfam:Ipomoea nil DNA, scaffold: scaffold2283, cultivar: Tokyo-kokei standard.